rnacentral:rRNA from 1 species
CAGUAGCCGCGGUAAUACGUAGGUGGCAAGCGUUGUCCGGAAUUAUUGGGCGUAAAGCGCGCGCAGGCGGAUAGGUCAGUCUGUCUUAAAAGUUCGGGGCUUAACCCCGUGAUGGGAUGGAAGCUGCCAAUCUAGAGUAUCGGAGAGGAAAGUGGAAUUCCUAGUGUAGCGGUGAAAUGCGUAGAUAUUAGGAAGAACACCAGUGGCGAAGGCGACUUUCUGGACGAAAACUGACGCUGAGGCGCGAAAGCCAGGGGAGCGAACGGGAUUAGAUACCCCAGUAGUCCCUGUCUCUUAUACC